rnacentral:ncRNA from 1 species
UAAUUAAGAGGGACAGACGGGGUCAUUCGUACUGUGCCGUUUAAGGUGAAAUUCUUGGAUCGGCGCAAGACGAACGAUUGCGAAAGCAUUUGCCAAGAAUGUUAUCUUU